CCCUUAGAUGUCCUGGGCUGCACGCGCGCUACACUGAUGUGUCCAGUAAGCACCUAACCUCUUCCGAAGGGAACGGGUAACCUUAGCAAAGCACAUCGUGAUGGGGAUAGAUUAUUGCAAUUAUUAGUCUUGAACGAGGAAUUCCUAGUAAGCACAAGUCAUCAGCUUGUGUUGAUUACGUCCCUGCCCUUUGUACACACCGCCCGUCGCUCCUACCGAUUGAAUGUUCCGGUGAAUACUUCGGACUGCGAGGUCUGCAGUUUCUGCGUUCCUUGCGGAAAGUUGAAUGAACCUUAACAUUUAGAGGAAGGAGAAGUCGUANCA
rnacentral:rRNA from 1 species